CUCAUCCGGUCAUGUGACAUUUGUUGUUUAUAGAUUUUUCGCUCACACCAGAUGUCUAGACCCUGGACAGAUAACAGAAAUACACAUUGCCACUCAAUCUGUAUUCAUCUUGUGACAUCUCCUUGGAAGAAGGAGAGAGGGACCCUAGGGGUGGYGUWAAGGAGUUGAAAUCCUGUUAAGACAAUCAGGUGAGAGAAGGUCCUAACUAGUCAAUGAUCUAAAUUGAUCAAAACCUGUAGACACUGUAGCCUUUAAGGACUGGAGUUGCACACAUGUCAUAGAACAACAUGAAAAAUAAAGUGACAGACAGAUAAUGCAUUGUUGGUAAAUGGUGACAGACUGACUGAUCUGCAAGUAAAAGUAAUACAUAUGUAUUUGUUAUGCAAAGUGAUUUGUAGAUCAGUCAGUCUGUGUGGAGGAGGAUGAAGACCUUUAGUGACGUGCAGGACAUAGUAAAACACUGACAUGCAGCUUUUCUCAUAGACGGGAGGUUACAAGUGAAGGAAUCCGCUAGGAUUGGAAGUUGUCUCUUUGUUUCUUUUUAGAUGGUAUGGCCCUUGAGGACCCCCAAGACCAACUGGACGAGGCCAUUAACGAGGCAAAAGGCUGGCUGAGGAGCUCAACCCAGAACGGGAAAAUAAGAAGAAGAAGACAAACAAGCCUCCAGGGAUUAGGUUCAGAUGGAGACAAAGGGAUGAGAGAGGACAGAUUGUUYCUCAAACCAGGAAGGCAACUACAUCCACUUCUGUUGCUCCAAGGGCCAGUACAUCAAGAGCCAGACUAGUGCAACAUUUUGGGCCAGUCACCAAGGAGGAAGAAUCAGAGACCAGGACCAGUGGAUUAGAAUCCACUCCAGUUUUAAACAUUGAUGAAGAAAUAGAACGGAAUGAUCUGUGGGGACACUUUUCAAAAAAGCUUCUUUGAGUGGACGUACUGCCGCUCUGAAAUUGAUCAGGUCUGCGAUAUGUUCCCCCUGUUCCCCUGGCAUUUGUCAGGGGACGGGAACAGGAAGCUGUAUCGAUUCAAAAAUAGGUAUGUAAAACUAUUCGUAAUUGAUAAAAUAACACCGUACUCUAUAUCAUUUAAACAAUCCARACAAGGUUGCUGUGCUUAUUAGUUUAGUUAAUAAAAAACUAAACAAUGUUA